rfam:Solanum tuberosum cultivar DM 1-3 516 R44 scf00149_8, whole genome shotgun sequence.
CAUCCCUGUGAUGAGUUCUUUCUAAAUUUAACGUUAAAAGUAGACUGAUCUUUAAAGGAAGAAAAAUACUCAAUUCUGAGGGAUG